rnacentral:rRNA from 1 species
AUGGAGGGGUCCUCGGCCGGAAUCUCCAUCAAUUUGCGUCCUUGGGCCAUAAUCUCCAUCAAAUUCCGUCGAAAUUUGCACGAAGCGUCCAAUGUCGCCACAGAGUUUGCCGGAGGAACAAGAACAUUGGUCCGUCCAGUGUCGCCUGCAGCGGCUACACCAAAGGGCCACAUGAACAAGGAUCAUGCGGACGCUACAAAACUCAUCGUGCAACACUCAACCUCUGUUAAGGAAAUGAAGUUUCUUCCUCGAUCAAGUUAUCAGUCCUUGGUUCACUCUUGCCCUUUGCGCUUGAUGAGACGGGUGAGGAGGAGGAGGAGGAGAGUGUGGGGGCAUCUGGAGAGGAGCGAGGGGUGA